CACGCUCCAUACAACAUGUGUGCAAGUGCAUUGCGCAGAAUCACCCCAGCCCGAAAAGUGUUACUGGGCCGGAAACUUACUGCUUCAAGAAACGGCGCUACAUGGACAAGACUCCAACGAGACAUGCCCUGCAGAAUCUGGAAGGCCUGGUGAAAAAAAGUCUAGAACCCACGGUUUCCGCGAUUCGUCAGAACAGCCCGCGUCAAAAAAGCAGAGACUCCUCCCCGGCGUAUAACGGCACAGAAGACCAUACACACCGAGAGCACGCGAAGGAUUUCGGUGCGCCGGACAUUCCCAAUAAAAC